rnacentral:rRNA from 2 species
ACGCUGGCGGCGUGCCUAAUACAUGCAAGUCGAGCGAAUUUGAUGGGAGCUUGCUCCCUGAAAAUUAGCGGCGGACGGGUGAGUAACACGUGGGCAACCUACCUGUAAGCCUGGGAUAACUUCGGGAAACCGGAGCUAAUACCGGAUAAUUUCUUUCUUCACAUGAAGAGAGGUUGAAAGACGGCUUUGCUGUCACUUACAGAUGGGCCCGCGGCGCAUUAGCUAGUUGGUGAGGUAACGGCUCACCAAGGCCACGAUGCGUAGCCGACCUGAGAGGGUGAUCGGCCACACUGGGACUGAGACACGGCCCAGACUCCUACGGGAGGCAGCAGUAGGGAAUCUUCCGCAAUGGACGAAAGUCUGACGGAGCAACGCCGCGUGAGUGAAGAAGGUCUUCGGAUCGUAAAACUCUGUUAUCAGGGAAGAACAAGUACCGGAGUUACUGCCGGUACCUUGACGGUACCUGACCAGAAAGCCACGGCUAACUACGUGCCAGCAGCCGCGGUAAUACGUAGGUGGCAAGCGUUGUCCGGAAUUAUUGGGCGUAAAGCGCGCGCAGGCGGUUCUUUAAGUCUGAUGUGAAAUCUUGCGGCUCAACCGUGAGCGGUCAUUGGAAACUGGAGAACUUGAGUGCAGAAGAGAAGAGCGGAAUUCCACGUGUAGCGGUGAAAUGCGUAGAGAUGUGGAGGAACACCAGUGGCGAAGGCGGCUCUUUGGUCUGUAACUGACGCUGAGGCGCGAAAGCGUGGGGAGCGAACAGGAUUAGAUACCCUGGUAGUCCACGCCGUAAACGAUGAGUGCUAAGUGUUAGAGGGUUUCCGCCCUUUAGUGCUGCAGCAAACGCAUUAAGCACUCCGCCUGGGGAGUACG